ensembl:lncRNA
CCCCGUGGCCCUGAGCCUACUCUCCGAGGGUAAAGGCCCUGAGCCUACUCUCCAAGGGUAAAGGCCCCGCAGCCCUGAGCCUACUCUCCGAGGGUAAAGGCCCCGCGGCCCUGAGCCCAGUCUCCGAGGGUAAAGGCCCCGCCCCACGGCCCUGAGCCUACUCUCCGAGGGUAAAUGCCCCGUGGCCCUGAGCCUACUCUCCAAGGGUAAAGGCCCCGCAGCCCUGAGCCUACUCUCCGAGGGUAAAGGCCCUGAGGGUGUCUCAUGGGCACAAAACACAGUUCCAUUUAACACCUCACACUGUACAGGUCACCAACUAUUUGACAUUUUGAACCCCUGAAGACAACGCAGCCAAGCCUCGGGGUUAGUGUGUGAGUGUGUGUGUGUGUGUGUGUGUGUGUGUGUGUCUGAUGGUGAUCUGUGGUCCCCUGAGGGAUGUGGAGACGUGUUUCCCUGAGUCUUCCUGCAGCUAAAUCAGUGUAUUAAACCUGCCACACACACCCAUCUGUGCUUUGUAAAUCUGUGCACACCCAGCAAUCUAAAUGACACACAGCCAGUUCUCUAAAUAACACACACACACACACACACACAG